CUGAACGAAGAUUCAAAUCAUACCCAACUAAACUAAUCUCAGAGAAAAUGAAAACGCGUCCGCCCCAGAGUCGCUCCCGCGGGCGACUCCGGGCGGCUUCCCUAGCGCCGCCGCCCCAGCCCCCCGCCUCGGCCUCUCCUCCCUCGCCGCCGCCGGCGACGUCACCGGCCAAAGGCCGCGUGGCGCAGGCGGCGGCGCGGCAUCUCCUCCCGCGCGCAGGUGGCCGGCGUCGCGGGGCGCCCCCUCCUGCCCGUCGGCGUCGGGCGGCGGCUCUCCUCUGCUCCGGCUCCCCUCCCCCUCUCCGGCGUCGUGGUGGCCCGCAGGCGUUCCCCUCUCUCCUCCCUCCCCCCUCCAGCGCGGCUUGUGGGGUUCCGAGGAGGCGGGUUGCUCUGGCGGCGGAUCUGGGUGGCUCUGCCCAGAUCUGGUUGGUGUUGGUGGUUGGUGGCGGCGGGGACGGCCGGCGGCCCUGCUAAGGUGGUGGUGGUGCUGCUGGCGGCUGUGCUUCUCCGGGGGCGUGGUGGAGCCUCCGGUGGUGUUGGCCAGGGCAUGGAUGCGGGGAUGUGGGCUGCCACGGCGUGGUGGUGGCUCAUGGCGGUGGUCUGGAUCGUGUCACGGCGGCGGCUGGUCAUCUCCGAGAGCAGCGUCGGCCGUUGGUGAGCGGCCUUUUUCGACCUUCGAUCCCUUCCCUAGUCGUCCGGGCUCUACCCUCGUCAUAGGGCUGGACCGCUCCCAGUUGCGGUCCAUUGCUCGUCUCGCGCCCGUGGCUGCGAGACAGAGCUCGUCUCGCGCCCGGCAGCAGGACCGUGCUUGUCUCGCGCCCGGCAGCAGGACCGGCCUCGUCUCGCGCCUAGUAGCAGGACUGAGCUUGUCUUGCACCCGGUGCAGCAGGACGAGUGAUGGAGGCCUUUUUUGGGCCGGCCCUUUGGGUCUCGGCGCCGGGGGCCGUCCAGGGGUGUGUAAAGGAGCGACCUUUCCACUCGUCUCUUUGGUUGGGGUAGCGACGGAUCUCGGGUGCGGUGGUGUCAAGGUCUUGGAUGUCGGGGCGGCGGCCCUGGUGGUGGUAGCGCGGUGCUCAUGGGCAGAGCCCGUGGCUUGGUGCUGCCCGGUGACCAUGGCCGUGUGGGCGGCAUGGUGGCAAGGGUGUGGCGUUCGGUGGCGGUGAGUGUUUGCUGGUGUGAAAACCUGUUCUAUCCUCGGACGGACCGGCGGCGGCGUAGCGCGUUACCUUCUUGAAGGCGUCGUCACGGCUCUCACCGGUCAUCGUGUCGCUCCAGAGGAAACUCUGACCCCCGGGUCAGGCGGUGGCGGCGCGCUAGCGUCGUAACCUUCUUGGAGGCGCCGCCUUGGAGCUCUCGGUUCGUCAUAUGCGGCUUCAUCUCUUCGCGGUGGCGUGUUUCCGGUGGAGAUCCCUGAUUGCUCUUGUAGUGUUAGGGGUGGUGUUGCUGCGCACAACGCCUAUGUAUCCCGCCUUGGGUGUGUGCGUGUGUUGUCGUGGGGUGUGCUUGUACUUGGGUUGUGGUUGAUCUGUGCUUUAUAUAUAAAGCGGGGCGAAAGCCUUUUUCGGUAACUAAUCUCAGAGUCAGAUCUCAAAAUUGAAACUCAAGUUAGAAUAUACUCAGAGCCAACAUCAGCUGGGCUUGGCUAUGUGCACCUCUGGAAGAGGCAGGACAAAAAUCAAGUAGUACCUGAGGCGACAGCCCCCAAUACACUAGGCUUCAAUGCUUGCCUGCUUGCCCCCGGCAGCAGUGUUGCCUCCUUGAAUCAGCUGCUG
rnacentral:rRNA from 1 species